rnacentral:ncRNA from 1 species
CCGCAGUUUAAACACCGAGUUCCCUCAACCUAAGCGCUGUGCGUAUGGAACGGGAACCGUGGCUGGAAAAUUUUUCCAACACCAGGGCCGUCCGGGAAACCGGCCUGCCUCCCGGCUUUGGAAAGGCGUUUAAUGUUAAAAGAC